CCUACGGGUGGCAGCAGUGAGGAAUAUUGGUCAAUGGUCGUAAGACUGAACCAGCCAAGUCGCGUGAGGGAAGACUGCCCUAUGGGUUGUAAACCUCUUUUGUGCGGGGAUAAAGGUGUCCACGUGUGGAUGUUUGCAGGUACCGCAUGAAUAAGGACCGGCUAAUUCCGGGCCAGCAGCCGCGGUAAUACGGAAGGUCCGGGCGUUAUCCGGAUUUAUUGGGUUUAAAGGGGGGGUAGGCCGGUCUUUAAGCUAGCCGUGAAAUAUUGUGGCUCAACCAUGGGAGUGCGGGGGAAACUGGAGGGCGUGAGUGGGCGGAAGGUAGGCGGAAUGCGUGGUGUAGCGGUGAAAUGCAUAGAUAUCACGAAGAACCCCGAUUGCGAAGGCAGCAUGCCGCAGCGUUACUGACGCUGAAGCACGAAAGCGUGGGUAUCGAACAGGAUUAGAUACCCCAGUAGUC
rnacentral:rRNA from 1 species